AUUAGAUACCCCGGUAGUCCUGGCCGUAAACGAUGGGUACUAGGUGUAGGAGGUAUCGACCCCUUCUGUGCCGGAGUCAACGCAAUAAGUACCCCGCCUGGGGAGUACGACCGCAAGGUUGAAACUCAAAGGAAUUGACGGGGGCCCGCACAAGCGGUGGAGUAUGUGGUUUAAUUCGACGCAACGCGAAGAACCUUACCAGGUCUUGACAUUGAUGGACAGAACCAGAGAUGGUCCCUCUUCUUCGGAAGCCAGAAAACAGGUGGUGCACGGUUGUCGUCAGCUCGUGUCGUGAGAUGUUGGGUUAAGUCCCGCAACGAGCGCAACCCCUAUCUUAUGUUGCCAGCACUUUGGGUGGGGACUCAUGAGAGACUGCCGCAGACAAUGCGGAGGAAGGCGGGGAUGACGUCAAAUCAUCAUGCCCCUUAUGACCUGGGCUACACACGUACUACAAUGGGAGUUAAUAGACGGAAGCGAGAUCGCGAGAUGGAGCAAACCCGAGAAACACUCUCUCAGUUCGGAUCGUAGGCUGCAACUCGCCUACGUGAAGUCGGAAUCGCUAGUAAUCGCAGGUCAGCAUACUGCGGUGAAUACGUUCCCGGGCCUUGUACACANCGCCCGUCACACCACGAAAGUCGGAAGUGCCCA
rnacentral:rRNA from 1 species